GUCAAAUAUAAGGCUUGCGUUUCAUUCUUUUCACAUUAAAGUUCGCCAGACCGCACCAUAGUUGGUGCUCAGGAGAAAUUGUACGGAUAAUCAAGUUUUUCACACCUGUUCUUGGAUUUUCUCCUGGAUUUGCUACCACGUUGUACAGGAGUUCCAUGUUAUAUGGAGACACGCUCUUCCUUAUAUUCUUAUGUGUAAGUGCG